UAAAAUUUUGCAUGUUGUUCUCCCACAAAUCUUUUUUUUUUUUUUUUGAGAUGGAGUCUCACUCUGUCAGCCAGGCUGGAGUGCAGUGGUGUGAUCUCGUCUCAUUGCAACCUCUGCCUCCUGGGUUCAAGUGAUCCUCUUUCCUCAGUCUCCCUAGUAGCUGGGAUGACAGGGGCAUACCACCUCGCCCAGCUAAUAUUUGUAUUUUUAGUAGACACGGGGUUUUACCAUGAUAGCCAGGCUGGUCUUGAACUCCUGAUCUUGUCUUUCCAUCUAUUUAGAUCCUUAAUUUCUUUCAGCAAUGCUUUCUACUUUUAGCACACAAGGCUUUUGCCUCCUUGGUUAAACUGAUUCCAAAGUACUUUAUUCUUUUGAUGCUAUUAUGAAUGGAACUGUUUUCUUAAUUUCCUUUUCAGACUGUUCAUUGUUAGUGUACAGAAACAAUUGUUUUUGUCUGCACAUUUGCUGAAUACAUUCAUUAGAUACAACAGUUUAAAAUUUUUUAACUUUUCAUUUUUCAUUCAGACUCAUAUGAUUUGAAAUCUAAACAAGUUUUUCCGUCAAAUUUUUAUUUUUCUACAUAUAAGAUCAUGUCAUAUACAGAUAGUUAAUUUUUCUUCUUCCUUUCUAAUUUCAAUGCCUCUUAUUUCUUUUUCUUGCUUAAUUGCUCUAGCAAGAACUUCCAAUACUAUGUUGAAUGGAAGCGGAGAACUGGGCAUUCUUCACUUGUUCCUGAUCAUUCUUAACAUUUCCCUUUUAGAGGAAAAGCUUUCAGUCACCAUUGAGCAUGAUGUUAGCUGGCUUUUUAUAACUUCCUUAUGUUGAGGUAGAUUUCUCAUUGUCUUCACCAAUCUUCUGAACCCGUGAAUACUUUUUGCAUGAUGAUUUGAAGCAGCCAGGAGGCCAAGACAGUGGCCAGGAGAAGCAGCAAGGAAUUGAGCCUUGGACAUUUUUCUCAAAAAAAUAAAAGAUGGGGAACCACCAUGCUCGAGAUAAGAAAUUAGUCUGUGAAGAGACCUUCAAGUUCUGCAAAUGGUAGACAAAAAAGUAAAAUGAGUCAUAUCUCUCUUGA